GCUCGCUUAGAGAAGCGGUGAACUCGCCACAUUCACGCUGCUGCCUCUCGAAGGCAUGCAAAGCGCACUGUGGAGAUCGCCGGUUCGAACCCGGCAGUGAGCA